UACGUAGGUGGCAAGCGUUGUCCGGAUUUACUGGGCGUAAAGGAUGCGUAGGUGGAUAUUUAAGUGGGAUGUGAAAUACCUGAGCUCAACUUGGGUGCUGCAUUCCAAACUGGAUAUCUAGAGUGCAGGAGAGGUAAGUGGAAUUCCUAGUGUAGCGGUGAAAUGCGUAGAGAUUAGGAAGAACACCAGUGGCGAAGGCGACUUACUGGACUGUAACUGACACUGAGGCAUGAAAGCGUGGGGAGCAAACAGGAUUAGAUACC
rnacentral:rRNA from 1 species